rnacentral:rRNA from 1 species
AAUAUUGCGCAAUGGGGGGAACCCUGACGCAGCAACGCCGCGUGAGUGAAGAAGGCCUUCGGGUCGUAAAGCUCUGUCAUUAGGGAAGAAGUCUAUUAUACAAACAGUGUAAUAGGUGACGGUACCUAAGGAGGAAGCCACGGCUAACUACGUGCCAGCAGCCGCGGUAACACGUAGGUGGCAAGCGUUGUCCGGAAUUACUGGGCGUAAAGGGCGUGUAGGUGGUCUAACAAGUCAGGUGUGAAACACCGGGGCUCAACUCCGGUCAUGCAUUUGAAACUGUAGGACUUGAGGGCAAGAGAGGAAAGUGGAAUUCCUAGUGUAGCGGUGAAAUGCGUAGAUAUUAGGAGGAACACCAGUGGCGAAGGCGACUUUCUGGAUUGACCCUGACACUGAGGCGCGAAAGCGUGGGUAGCAAACA